ACAAAAGCAGUUCUUCUUCUUUCCCUUUUGUGUUAGUCAUCAAUGGCAUCGUUCACCAUUAGAGAGGAUCAAUCCAAGCUCAGUGAGUUGGGUUUAACAAUAUACAACAGACAUUUUUCUUUCUCUCGUCAAAUAACUAUUUCUCUCAUGUCACCAUUUUUCUGUACUAGUGCACAAUCAAUAAUCAUGCCUGGAAGAAGCUUCACAAUACCGAGAAAUCAAGCAAGAAUCAAUAUACCCAGAAAUCAAGCAAGAAACAAAGAACCCAGAAGCAAAAAUCAACAGAAACCCAUCUCAGAAACUUGCCCCAAAAACUCCACCAUUUCUUCUACCCAUGAAAGCCCAACAACAUCCAUCGCUAAAAACAAGAAGAAUUUCACACCAUUUAGGGCAACUUCACAAGUCUCUGUCCCUGCACCAAUUACUGAUUGGCAAUCCAAGAAGAAGAAGCAGAAGCUGAGAAUCAAGACCCUUAAAUUUGUUGAUGGAGAUUCAACUUUUUCCACCCACAAUAGCUGUUGCAGAAAAGGAAGAAAAGCAAGACACUCAUGUAUGGCUGCUUCUUUUGAUGAUUUUGUUGUUUCAAGAAAACCCCAUUCUGCUAAAGGGAGAGUUGAUAUUGACAAGGAGGAAUUGGUGGAACCGGGGAUGGAAUUGGAUAUGUGAGUACAAGAUUGAAAGAAGACGAGAUAAUAACUCAAUGUGUUAGGAGAACUAAGCCCUUCUCUUUUAUCUCAUUUACGCACAGAAGUGGAGAAAAAGUGUAGCAUUUGUCAGGAAAAAUAUGAGGCUGAUGAUGAAAUGGGCAAGCUCGGUUGUGGACACUUGUAUCAUAUCGACUGCAUAAAACAGUGGCUGAUGCACACAAAUAGUUGUCCUCAUGAAACUGCUGAUUUCGUAUUCCUUUUGUAUAUACUCUUUGUGCAUCCUGAAACUGAUGGCUCUUUUGUUUCUGUCCAAUAUGAGACAAAACAAUCUUCUUGUUCUGUUUUAGUUACAAACCUUCAAUCGAACAUUACUCCUACCAGAUGUUGAU